UACGAAGGGGGCGAGCGUUGUUCGGAAUUACUGGGCGUAAAGGGCGCGUAGGCGGCCGAUCAAGUCAGAUGUGAAAGUCCUGGGCUUAACCUGGGGACUGCAUUUGAUACUGAUUGGCUUGAAUGCAGGAGAGGAUAGCGGAAUUCCCAGUGUAGAGGUGAAAUGCGUAGAUAUCUGGAGGAAUACCGGUGGCGAAGGCGGCAUCCUGGACCGACAUUGACGCUGAUGAGCGAAAGCUAGGGGAGCAAACGGG
rnacentral:rRNA from 1 species